AUUGAACGCUGGCGGCAUGCUUUACACAUGCAAGUCGAACGGCAGCGCGGGCUUCGGCCUGGCGGCGAGUGGCGAACGGGUGAGUAAUGCAUCGGAACGUGCCCAGUAGUGGGGGAUAGCCCGGCGAAAGCCGGAUUAAUACCGCAUACGACCUGAGGGUGCAAGCGGGGGACCGAAAGGCCUCGCGCUCUUGGAGCGGCCGAUGUCGGAUUAGCUAGUUGGUGGGGUAAAGGCUUACCAAGGCGACGAUCCGUAGCUGGUCUGAGAGGACGACCAGCCACACUGGGACUGAGACACGGCCCAGACUCCUACGGGAGGCAGCAGUGGGGAAUUUUGGACAAUGGGGGCAACCCUGAUCCAGCCAUGCCGCGUGCGGGAAGAAGGCCUUCGGGUUGUAAACCGCUUUUGUUCGGGAAGAAAUCCUCUGGGCUAAUACCCCGGGGGGAUGACGGUACCGGAAGAAUAAGCACCGGCUAACUACGUG
rnacentral:rRNA from 1 species